rnacentral:rRNA from 1 species
AUUGAACGCUGGCGGCAUGCCUUACACAUGCAAGUCGAACGGCAGCACGGGGCAACCUGGUGGCGAGUGGCGAACGGGUGAGUAAUGCAUCGGAACGUACCCGGAAGUGGGGGAUAACGUAGCGAAAGUUACGCUAAUACCGCAUAUUCUGUGCGCAGGAAAGAGGGGGAUCUUCGGACCUCUUGCUUUCGGAGCGGCCGGUGUCAGAUUAGCUAGUUGGUGAGGUAAAGGCUCACCAAGGCGACGAUCUGUAGCGGGUCUGAGAGGAUGAUCCGCCACACUGGAACUGAGACACGGUCAAGACUCCUACGGGAGGCAGCAGUGGGGAAUUUUGGACAAUGGGCGCAAGCCUGAUCCAGCCAUGCCGCGUGAGUGAAGAAGGCCUUCGGGUUGUAAAGCUCUUUCGGCCGGGAAGAAAUCGCAUGGAUUAAUACUCUGUGCGGAUGACGGUACCGGCAUAAGAAGCACCGGCUAACUACGUGCCAGCCGCCGCGGUAAGAC